AUUGCCAAAAGGCUUUUGGAAAUAUCCAAUGCAUUAUAUAGCAUUUCAAACAUAUUUACUUCAGGGUCUUUAUGAAAAUGAUUUUCAAGGGCUUGAGUUUGAUAAUAAUGAUAUUUCUGAAGGAAAGCUAUCAGGAACAACAAUUCUUAAACAGUAUCAAGUAGAUCUCUCAAGAUCUAAAUGGUUGAACUUUAUAAUCCUGUUAAGCAUGAUUUUGGUUUA